rnacentral:rRNA from 1 species
GACGAACGCUGGCGGCGUGCUUAACACAUGCAAGUCGAGCGGUAAGGCCCUUUCGGGGGUACACGAGCGGCGAACGGGUGAGUAACACGUGGGUGACCUGCCCUUAGCUCUGGGAUAAGCCUGGGAAACUGGGUCUAAUACCGGAUAUGACUCCAUGACGCAUGUUGUGGGGUGGAAAGCCUUGUGCGGCUAGGGAUGGGCCCGCGGCCUAUCAGCUUGUUGGUGGGGUGAUGGCCACCAAGGCGACGACGGGUAGCCGGCCUGAGAGGGCGACCGGCCACACUGGGGACUGAGACACGGCCCAGACUCCUACGGGAGGCAGCAGUGGGGAAUCUUGCGCAAUGGGCGAAAGCCUGACGCAGCGACGCCGCGUGGGGAUGACGGCCUC